rnacentral:rRNA from 2 species
AGAGUUUGAUCAUGGCUCAGAUUGAACGCUGGCGGCAGGCCUAACACAUGCAAGUCGAACGGUAACAGGAAGCAGCUUGCUGCUUUGCUGACGAGUGGCGGACGGGUGAGUAAUGUCUGGGAAACUGCCUGAUGGAGGGGGAUAACUACUGGAAACGGUGGCUAAUACCGCAUAACGUCGCAAGACCAAAGAGGGGGACCUUCGGGCCUCUUGCCAUCAGAUGUGCCCAGAUGGGAUUAGCUUGUUGGUGAGGUAACGGCUCACCAAGGCGACGAUCCCUAGCUGGUCUGAGAGGAUGACCAGCCACACUGGAACUGAGACACGGUCCAGACUCCUACGGGAGGCAGCAGUGGGGAAUAUUGCACAAUGGGCGCAAGCCUGAUGCAGCCAUGCCGCGUGUAUGAAGAAGGCCUUCGGGUUGUAAAGUACUUUCAGCGGGGAGGAAGGUGUUGUGGUUAAUAACCGCAGCAAUUGACGUUACCCGCAGAAGAAGCACCGGCUAACUCCGUGCCAGCAGCCGCGGUAAUACGGAGGGUGCAAGCGUUAAUCGGAAUUACUGGGCGUAAAGCGCACGCAGGCGGUCUGUCAAGUCGGAUGUGAAAUCCCCGGGCUCAACCUGGGAACUGCAUUCGAAACUGGCAGGCUUGAGUCUUGUAGAGGGGGGUAGAAUUCCAGGUGUAGCGGUGAAAUGCGUAGAGAUCUGGAGGAAUACCGGUGGCGAAGGCGGCCCCCUGGACAAAGACUGACGCUCAGGUGCGAAAGCGUGGGGAGCAAACAGGAUUAGAUACCCUGGUAGUCCACGCCGUAAACGAUGUCUACUUGGAGGUUGUGCCCUUGAGGCGUGGCUUCCGGAGCUAACGCGUUAAGUAGACCGCCUGGGGAGUACGGCCGCAAGGUUAAAACUCAAAUGAAUUGACGGGGGCCCGCACAAGCGGUGGAGCAUGUGGUUUAAUUCGAUGCAACGCGAAGAACCUUACCUGGUCUUGACAUCCACAGAACAUUCCAGAGAUGGAUUGGUGCCUUCGGGAACUGUGAGACAGGUGCUGCAUGGCUGUCGUCAGCUCGUGUUGUGAAAUGUUGGGUUAAGUCCCGCAACGAGCGCAACCCUUAUCCUUUGUUGCCAGCGGUCCGGCCGGGAACUCAAAGGAGACUGCCAGUGAUAAACUGGAGGAAGGUGGGGAUGACGUCAAGUCAUCAUGGCCCUUACGACCAGGGCUACACACGUGCUACAAUGGCGCAUACAAAGAGAAGCGACCUCGCGAGAGCAAGCGGACCUCAUAAAGUGCGUCGUAGUCCGGAUUGGAGUCUGCAACUCGACUCCAUGAAGUCGGAAUCGCUAGUAAUCGUGGAUCAGAAUGCCACGGUGAAUACGUUCCCGGGCCUUGUACACACCGCCCGUCACACCAUGGGAGUGGGUUGCAAAAGAAGUAGGUAGCUUAACCUUCGGGAGGGCGCUUACCACUUUGUGAUUCAUGACUGGGGUGAAGUCGUAACAAGGUAACCGUAGGGGAACCUGCGGUUGGAUCACCU